AGCCCUAAGGAUUAAUUUAGGGUGAUACCUGCCCAAUGACACAGUUUAACGGCCGCGGUACUUUGACCGUGCUAAGGUAGCAUAAUCAAUUGACUUUUAAAUGAAGUCUGGAAUGAACGGGAUAACGGAAUUUAGCUGUCUCACAUCUUUUAAUGGGAAUUUACUUACUAGGUGAGAAAGCCUGGAAAAGAAAAAAGACGAGAAGACCCUAAGAGUUUGGUAUUUUGUUGGGGCGACAAGGGGUCAGGUAACACCCCCGAUUAUAUGACGGACUUAUCAUGUAUAGAUAAACUACCUUAGGGAUAACAGCAUAAUUCUUUUGAGUUUGUGACCUCGAUGUUGGACUAGGAAGCCUUUAGGCUAGCUGCCUAAGAGGGGGAUUCUGUUCGAAUUUUUACUCCU
rnacentral:rRNA from 1 species